UUGUGAAUAUUCUCACUGUUCUGAUUUUGUAAUAAUGUAGACAGGCUAAACAUUCACUAUAUUAAGGCCAUGAAUGUGUCCCCAGACCUAGUUCUUUCCCUAGGUCUGAUUUUGUAAAUGUUGGUGAUUAUA
rnacentral:snoRNA from 1 species